GUUUAAAAGUAGUCAACCAGCUUCUAAGAAAAAAGGAUUUUAGUCAGUUUCAUAAACAAAGCAUAGAAAUUGAGUUAAGUUGACUUAUAAAGAAAUAGAUUUGGGAUCAAGCCUUACUUUGUUAAGUUGAAUUCUAAAGAAAGCAUAGAACUCAAGACAUAGAAUCAAAUUAUAACAACGUAUGACACUCCAGCUAGCUAGGAUGAGUGAUAAGGCCCAAAUCUAAUCAUAACUUCAACUCAAUCAAGUGAAUAGCACCUGAAUCAGAGUAAAAUGCAUAGCAAUCACAUUGCUUUAUUGAUCUACCAAGGAAUCAGAAUAUAAGUUUACUCAACCUUUU
rnacentral:misc_RNA from 1 species